rnacentral:rRNA from 1 species
AACGAACGCUGGCGGCAUGCCUAACACAUGCAAGUCGAACGGAGGCUUCGGCCUCAGUGGCGCACGGGUGAGUAACACGUGGGAACCUGCCCCGAGGUACGGAAUAACGUCUGGAAACGGACGCUAAGACCGUAUGUGACCUGAGGGUGAAAGAUUCAUCGCCUUGGGGGGGGCCCGCGUCCGAUUAGGUAGUUGGUGGGGUAACGGCCUACCAAGCCUUCGAUCGGUAGCUGGUCUGAGAGGACGAUCAGCCACACUGGACUGAGACACGGCCCAGACUCCUACGGGAGGCAGCAGUGGGGAAUAUUGGACAAUGGGGGCAACCCUGAUCCAGCCAUGCCGCGUGAGUGAUGAAGGCCUUAGGGUUGUAAAGCUCUUUUACCCGGGACGAUAAUGACUGUACCGGGAGAAUAAGCCCCGGCUAACUUCGUGCCAGCCGCCGCCGUAA